ACUCUGGACGAACUGCCGUUGACAAACGGAGGAAGGUGGGGAUGACGUCAAAUCAUCAUGCCCCUUAUGUCCUGGGCCACACACGUGCUACAAUGGCCGGUACAGAGGGAAGCGAAGCCGUGAGGUGGAGCAAAUCCCAAAAAGCCGGUCUCAGUUCGGAUUGCAGGCUGCAACCCGCCUGCAUGAAGUCGGAAUCGCUAGUAAUCGCAGGUCAGCAUACUGCGGUGAAUACGUUCCCGGGCCUU
rnacentral:rRNA from 1 species